ACGGACAAAGUAUCUAUUCUGACAAGUGUGAACAGUUCACUAGUGUAGAGACAAAUUACGACACUAAUAAUUACUUUUUUGUAUUGUGUUUUGAUUUAAUCUUUCGGCGGUCAAUGACAAGUUUUAUACUAUAACUUCAGUAUAAAAUCUAUGUUCUUGACUGCCGUCUGCUUUUCCUCGAUCACUAGUUUAUUUUGAAAAUGUCUGUUCAUAUCACGUAUCCACGGGACACUCUUCAACGCCUAAGCGACCGUAAAAAUAGAAAAUUGGCCAUCGACGAUUCUUUUAACCUAACAACUGUCGAUGAAUCAGAUCCAUGGAUACUUUGUAAUUCUCAAGUUGAUGUCAUAGAAGCAUCUGAGUCGCCACUAAAAGAACAUCGAGAUCUUUUUGGUGAAGUUAUUCACUAUGAGAGUCCGUUAUUAAAAAAUAAAACUAAUUCAAGUACUCCUGGAUCGAGGAAAAGAAAACAAUAUAAAUGGGAAGAAGUUAUAGAGGAGAGUCCAAUAACAAGACCUAAAAGAGCUUUUAUUCCUACCCCAAGAAUUGUAAAAUUAAUGAAAGAAGCGCAAGUAGAACUAUACUCUGUUAUGGGACAUAGUAAGAGCAGUAGUGAUGUAUCUAUAGUUUCAGAAGAUAGUCUUAAUGUUAGUGGUGUUCAAAAUCUAUCAGAUAGCCCUCAAGCUUUUAAAAAUAAAUCUGAACAUUCCAAAGAAGAGUCUCAGUCACCACCUAUUUUAGAAGGUGUGGUUGCAUUUGUUGAUUAUAAAAUUGACAACGAUCGUAGUGGUAUUGGUGUGAAACAUCGUCUUACUGAAUUGGGUGCUAAAAUUGAAAAAACUUUUAAUCAAAAGGUUACACAUGUAGUAUUUAGAGAUGGAUACCGUGCAACGUACCGGAAAGCUAUUGAACGAAAUAUUCCUCUUGUAUCAGCUAGAUGGGUAGAAGGAUGUAAAAUUUCUAAUACUUUGUUAGAUCCAGCUAAUUAUCCUCCUGUUGAUCUAGAAAAAUAUCAAAAGACACCAGAAAUAGAUUUUAAUCAUCCGAAGUACAACAAGUAUAAAAAGUUUUUAAGACCAAGUGAUGCACAACGAGAUGAAAUGUUAAAAACAAAAUGUAGUAAUCUAAUGAAUCGAAUCAAUGCAUUAAUGGGUCCUCAUGAUGAAAAUGAAGAUAAAAGUUACACUGAAACACCUAAAAAAGAAACUAAAAAAGAACCUGAAGAUCCAUUUAAAACUAAUGACAUCAUUAGUGUUUUAUCAGAUCAAUUGAGUAAAGUAUUAAAUACAAAUGAUAGCCCUAUAUCUGAUGACCAUGUUGAUGAACUAUAUUUACCAAUGUCAAUAAAACUAUUGAGGAAAUACCUAACUCCUAAAGGAAGUGAAAACAAAACUCCAGCAGCAUUGGAUAGUGAUUUGAUUAAAAUUGAAGAUCGUUUAAAACUAAACAGCCGUGCUAGGCAGAGGUUACGAAAGUUGUUAUUCCCUGAUGUGGAUUUGAGUAAUGUUAGUAAUAUUAGCGAUUUUCCUACUCCGUCUCCUCAAAAAAUUAGAAUAAGUGCUCCAGCUAGACUUUUAACUAGUAAAAAGAAACCAACAAAAAUAUUAGUUGAAAAAAUAAAUAAUGAGAAUAAUAUAAAAGAAAAAAUAGCGCCAGAAAAUUAUGUAAAUAAACAAACAAUACUAGAUAAUAAUAAUAAAAAACGAGAUACACCAGAAAAUAAUGUAUUAAAACAUAUCAAACAGUGGAAAAUACCUUCAGAUUUACGACCAAAAAAAGUAAAAACAAUAUCUAAACCAGUGGAAAAUAAUAAACAAACAAAAUUAACUAGUUGGCUGUCUAGGGAUUCCUCAGUAUUUUUCCAAACUCCAAAAGAGUCUUUAGCUAGUUCAAUAGCUUUACAAACAAUAGUUUGUACAGGAUUGAAAAAAAGCGAAGUUGAUAUUAUACAACAAUCAAUAGAUAAUUUGGGGAUAUUUAAUUUUAGUACAAAGGUAGAACCAUCAACUACUUAUGUAGUUACCAAACCUCAACCAAAUAGGACAUUAAAUUUAGUAUAUGCUAUGGCUUUUGGAUGUUAUAUUGUUUCUGAAGGAUGGGUGCAUGAUUCUCACAAAGAAGGAAGAUGGUUAUCUCAUAUUAAAUAUCUAGUUACUAAUCUUUCAGAACCAGUCAAAACAUUUCAGAAACAAAAAAACACAUUUGGUUCUUUAUUAACAUUUCACAUAUUUGAUACUGCUGGUAAAAUUUAUAUAUCAGACUCUUGUGAACCACCCGCAAAAGAUUUAAAACGCUUGGUUCGUACUUGUGGAGGCAAUAUCACCAACAAUGUGAACUCUGCUAAAGUAGUGAUUGGAAGUAACCCUAAAACAAAUUUCAAUGUAAAUGAAAAAUGGAUUUUAGAUUGUAUUACACAGGUUAUCUUAAAAAUUAUAAACUUUAGUCAAGUGCCAUUUCUAAGACGUACAUCUCAGCUAUCAAUUAUGCCUAUCCAAAUUGGAGAUAAUAUUCCUAAUGUGGAAUUAGCGGAAAAUACUCCUAACAACAAAGUAAAUAUAUCAGAUCUGUGUAAAGAUAAAACUGUUGUAUUAUUUGCUGUCCCUGGGGCGUUCACUCCAGGUUGUUCUAAGACACAUUUGCCCGGUUAUAUAAAUAAAGCUGACGAUUUAAAGAAAAAGGGAGUUGAUGAAAUCAUUUGUGUUUCGGUUAAUGAUGCAUUUGUCAUGGCAGCUUGGGCUAAAGAUCAAAACUCUGAAGGAAAAGUGCGUUUGCUUGCUGAUACGAUGGCUGAAUUAACAAAAGCAUUUGAUUUAGCUAUUGAGUUGCUUCCAUUAGGUGGUGUUCGUUCGAAGCGUUAUUCUAUGGUAAUUAAAACCGGUAAAAUCGUACAAUUAAAUGUGGAACCGGACAACACUGGUCUCUCGUGCUCAUUAGCAGACAAUUUAGAUUUGUAAAAAAGUAAUUGUCAAUAUGGUUUAAUAAUAAAUAUACACACAAUAAUAAAUUAUUUUAAAUAGCUUAAAAAAACAUAUUUCAUAAUAAAUUUUUAUCAUAUUUAUAUCCCUUGAAUAAUUAAAUUUAACAAUUACAUUAUUUUUU